GAUGAACGCUGGCGGCGUGCCUAAUACAUGCAAGUCGAGCGAACAGACGAGGAGCUUGCUCCUCUGACGUUAGCGGCGGACGGGUGAGUAACACGUGGAUAACCUACCUAUAAGACUGGGAUAACUUCGGGAAACCGGAGCUAAUACCGGAUAAUAUAUUGAACCGCAUGGUUCAAUAGUGAAAGACGGUUUUGCUGUCACGUAUAGAUGGAUCCGCGCCGCAUUAGCUAGUUGGUAAGGUAACGGCUUACCAAGGCAACGAUGCGUAGCCGACCUGAGAGGGUGAUCGGCCACCCUGGAACUGAGACACGGACCAGGCUCCUACGGGAGGCAGCAGUAGGGAAUCUUCCGCAAUGGGCGAAAGCCUGACGGAGCAACGCCGCGUGAGUGAUGAAGGUCUUCGGAUCGUAAAACUCUGUUAUUAGGGAAGAACAAAUGUGUAAGUAACUAUGCACGUCUUGACGGUACCUAAUCAGAAAGCCACGGCUAACUACGUG
rnacentral:rRNA from 1 species